UUCCAUAUAUCAGUUUGUUUCUACCGGGAAGAAUGAUGUUUUAAUUCAAACUCAUCCGAACCAUCUUUUCCAAAACCAUCUUCAGGAAGAAAACUAUGUCCGUUGAUGAAAACUACACAUUUGCAAUAAGAAGAACGGUACAUUCAUUUUAUUUUAAUGAAGAAAUAUCGAUUUUCGCGACAGCUGAUUAACGGAAAAACAGAUUUUGAACAGACAUAUAACGGGAGCUUCCAAAGAAGACCAAAGUAUGUCCUGAAUUGGUAUUGUUUCUAAUUGAGAAAUGUUAAAAUGGAAUGGUGCGCUGGUGAUCUGUGAAAUAUGCACCAAUGGCUUUUGUAUCAACUGCCACAAUGGUUCCUCUAACCAAACUCCUCGUCAAUGUCCGAAGUGAUUGAAGAAACCAGCUACAACCGUUUCUCGAAAUGAACCUUCAAUGAGUAGUUUCUCUUUUG